AGCGUUAUCCGGAUUCACUGGGUUUAAAGGGUGUGUAGGCGGAUAUUUAAGUCAGUGGUGAAAUCUCCAGGCUCAACCUGGAAACUGCCAUUGAUACUAUUUAUCUUGAAUUCUGUUGAGGUGGGCGGAAUACAUCAUGUAGCGGUGAAAUGCUUAGAUAUGAUGUAGAACACCGAUUGCGAAGGCAGCUCACUAAGCAGACAUUGACGCUGAGGCACGAAAGCGUGGGGAUCAAACAGG
rnacentral:rRNA from 1 species